GACACAGCGGGAGACACAGCGGGAGACACAGCGGGAGACACAGCGGGAGACACAGCGGGAGACACAGAGAGACAGCAAAGAGUAAAGGAGCCUGUUUUAUAGAGAGAGAGAGAGGAUACCAGGAAAAAACCCGGUGUGCCCCUGCAACCCAGAUCCGAUCCCCCCGAGGGUGCUCCCACGAUCCGCCGUCUCCCUCCCCAAACGUGCCGCAAAAGUCUGAAUGGAAAACACACUGAUUGGUGGGUGCAUCGCUGGUGGAGCCAUUGGCUUCCAAGGUGAGACACACAAACCUACUGUCCUGCUUAGCACUGAG